UGUUAGGUCCAAAGUAUCGUAGAAGGGGGGGUUGAAUACGAUACUCACUACAAUUUAAAAUUCUUUCGAAUCUUGCGGAUAAACAAAUUGCAGUUCUGUAAUGGGUUUCGUGUUCUGGAUAUUUAUUGGGUCGAUUUCUGAGGAUAUUAAAAUAUUAAACCAACACACAAUAUUUUCCAAGGUAUAUCUGUAUAUUGAUAAAUACCUCGAAGGUGCUAUAAAUCCAAACCCGAAGGUUCGGCUACAAUGGC
rnacentral:lncRNA from 1 species